AUAAGGUUGAACUCUAAAUUGUGGCUCAUACAUCUAUUAACCUGACAUAUACGUUUUAUCACACUCUAAGAGCUCAAGCUUAAUUUCAACAAAAAUUGACGGCAAGAAUAAUGUAUUAACCAACCAGACUCCCCAGAGCUCCCAGGUACUAAACGACCAACCAGAGUACAGGUGGAAUGACCCAUGGCUCCCACUGCAUAUGUAGCAGAGGAUGGCCUUGUUGGGCAUCAACGGGAGGAGAGGCCUUAGGUCCUGUGAAGACUCGAUUCCCCAGUGUAGGGGAGUGCCAGGAUGGAGAGGCAGGAGGGAGUGGGUGGGUGAGUGAGGUAGCAUCCUCAUGGAAGGAGGGGGUGGGGGACUAUGAUAGGGGGUUUCCUGGGGGGAAACUGGGGAUAAUACUUGAAUUGUAAAUAAAUAUCCAACAAAAAAAAAGAAUAAUGUCUUAAAAUUCAAAUAAUCCCUGGUAAAGUAAAAAUAAGAGAUUGUUUAUAUAAAAUUGUAGGGGGAGGAAA
rnacentral:lncRNA from 1 species